CCAAGUUUUCACCAAUGAGCUAAUCAGCAUAAAGUGACCACACAGGUUAGAUCCCAGAAUUAACAUCUAUAAACACAAGAUUAAGUUUGUUUUCGUCUUGCCCUGCAUAAAGUGGGAACCUUGCAAAUUCGCUUCAACAUUUUACCAUAUUACAGUAAAAUGGGUGCAAAAGGUUUAUAGCGAAGCACAAAACAAACAAAAUA